rnacentral:lncRNA from 1 species
UGUCAUUCAAAGAUGUGGCUGUGGAUUUCACCCAGGAGGAGUGGCGGCAACUGGACCCUGAUGAGAAGAUAGCAUACGGGGAUGUGAUGUUGGAGAACUACAGCCAUCUAGUUUCUGUGGGGUAUGAUUAUCACCAAGCCAAACAUCAUCAUGGAGUGGAGGUGAAGGAAGUGGAGCAGGGAGAGGAGCCGUGGAUAAUGGAAGGUGAAUUUCCAUGUCAACAUAGU